rnacentral:rRNA from 1 species
GAUCCUGGCUCAGGACGAACGCUGGCGGCGUGCCUAACACAUGCAAGUCGAGCGGGGACUUGUUGAGGAAGUCUUCGGAUGGAAUCGAUAAGUUCUAGCGGCGGACGGGUGAGUAACGCGUGAGCAACCUGCCCUCCACAGGGGGAUAACGCACCGAAAGGUGCACUAAUACCGCAUAAGACCACGGCACUGACAUGGUGCAGGGGUCAAAGGAGCAAUCCGGUGGAAGAUGGGCUCGCG